CAGUCGCCACGGGAAUACGAAGGGGGCUAGCGUUGUUCGGAAUUACUGGGCGUAAAGCGCACGUAGGCGGACAUUUAAGUCAGGGGUGAAAUCCCGGGGCUCAACCCCGGAACUGCCUUUGAUACUGGGUGUCUAGAGUAUGGAAGAGGUGAGUGGAAUUCCGAGUGUAGAGGUGAAAUUCGUAGAUAUUCGGAGGAACACCAGUGGCGAAGGCGGCUCACUGGUCCAUUACUGACGCUGAGGUGCGAAAGCGUGGGGAGCAAACAGGAUUAGAUACCCCGGUAGUCCCUGUCUCUUAUAC
rnacentral:rRNA from 1 species